GAUGAAGAACGCAGCGAAAUGCGAUACGUAAUGUGAAUUGCAGAAUUCAGUGAAUCAUCGAGUCUUUGAACGCACAUUGCGCCCCCUGGUAUUCCGGGGGGCAUGCCUGUCCGAGCGUCAUUGCUGCCCUCAAGCACGGCUUGUGUGUUGGGCCUCCGUCCUCCUCCCGGGGGACGGGCCGAAAGGCAGCGGCGGCACCGCGUCCGGUCCUCGAGCGUAUGGGGCUUCGUCACCCGCUCUUGUAGGCCCGGCCGGCGCUUGCCGACACAUCAAUCUUUUUUCCAGGUUGACCUCGGAUCAGGUAGGGAUACCCGCUGAACUUAAGCAUAUCAAUAAGCGGAGGA
rnacentral:misc_RNA from 1 species